rnacentral:rRNA from 1 species
UACAGAGGGGGCAAGCGUUGUUCGGAAUUACUGGGCGUAAAGGGCGCGUAGGCGGCCUUCUAAGUCAGACGUGAAAUCCCUCGGCUCAACCGGGGAACUGCGUCUGAGACUGAAAGGCUUGAAUCCGGGAGAGGGAUGCGGAAUUCCAGGUGUAGCGGUGAAAUGCGUAGAUAUCUGGAGGAACACCGGUGGCGAAGGCGGCAUCCUGGACCGGUAUUGACGCUGAGGCGCGAAAGCCAGGGGAGCAAACGGG